GUGGGGAAUCUUCCGCAAUGGACGAAAGUCUGACGGAGCAACGCCGCGUGAGUGAAGAAGGUUUUCGGAUCGUAAAGCUCUUUCGUUAGGGACGAACGUGCUCUUUGUGAAUAAUGAGGAGUAAUGACGGUACCUAAAUAAGAAGCCACGGCUAACUACGUGCCAGCAGCCGCGGUAAUACGUAGGUGGCAAGCGUUGUCCGGAAUUAUUAGGCGUAAAGCGCGCGCAGGCGGGAUAUCAAGUCUGUCUUAAAAGUGCGAGGCUCAACCUCGUGAGGGGACAGAAACUGGUAUUCUUGAGUGUCGGAGAGGAAAGUGGAAUUCCAAGUGUAGCGGUGAAAUGCGUAGAGAUUUGGAAGAACACCAGUGGCGAAGGCGACUUUCUGGACGAUGUCUGACGCUGAGGCGCGAAAGCUAGGGGAGCGAACGGGAUUAGAUACCCGGGUAGUCC
rnacentral:rRNA from 1 species